GACGAACUGUCCUAACGUUGUUCGGAAUCACUGGGCUUAAAGGGCGCGUAGGCGGUCCGACAAGUCAGGGGUGAAAUCCUGCAGCUUAACUGUAGAAGUGCCUUUGAUACUGUCGGUCUCGAGGGAGAUAGGGGUGUGCGGAACUUCCAGUGGAGCGGUGAAAUGCGUUGAUAUUGGAAGGAACGCCGGAGGCGAAAGCGGCGCACUGGAUCUCUUCUGACGCUGAGGCGCGAAAAGCUAGGGGAGCAAACGGGG
rnacentral:rRNA from 1 species